CGCGCAGCAUGCCCGCCAGCGCCCCGCCGCGCCGCCCGCGGCCGCCGCCGCCGUCGCUGUCGCUGCUGCUGGUGCUGCUGGCCCUGGGCGGCCGCCGCCUGCGCGCGGAGCCGGGCGACGGCGCGCAGACCUGGGCCCGUUUCUCGCGGCCUCCCGCCCCCGAGGCCGCGGGCCUCUUCCAGGGCACCUUCCCCGACGGCUUCCUCUGGGCCGUGGGCAGCGCCGCCUACCAGACCGAGGGCGGCUGGCAGCAGCACGGCAAGGGUGCGUCCAUCUGGGACACGUUCACCCACCACCCCCUGGCACCCCCGGGAGACUCCCGGAACGCCAGUCUGCCGUCGGGCGCCCCGUCGCCGCUGCAGCCCGCCACCGGGGACGUAGCCAGCGACAGCUACAACAACGUCUUCCGCGACACGGAGGCGCUGCGCGAGCUCGGGGUCACUCACUACCGCUUCUCCAUCUCGUGGGCGCGAGUGCUCCCCAAUGGCAGCGCGGGCGUCCCCAACCGCGAGGGGCUGCGCUACUACCGGCGCCUGCUGGAGCGGCUGCGGGAGCUGGGCGUGCAGCCCGUGGUCACCCUGUACCACUGGGACCUGCCCCAGCGCCUGCAGGACGCCUACGGCGGCUGGGCCAACCGCGCCCUGGCCGACCACUUCAGGGAUUACGCGGAGCUCUGCUUCCGCCACUUCGGCGGUCAGGUCAAGUACUGGAUCACCAUCGACAACCCCUACGUGGUGGCCUGGCACGGCUACGCCACCGGGCGCCUGGCCCCCGGCAUCCGGGGCAGCCCGCGGCUCGGGUACCUGGUGGCGCACAACCUCCUCCUGGCUCAUGCCAAAGUCUGGCAUCUCUACAAUACUUCUUUCCGUCCCACUCAGGGAGGUCAGGUGUCCAUUGCCCUAAGCUCUCACUGGAUCAAUCCUCGAAGAAUGACCGAGCACAGCAUCAAAGAAUGUCAAAAAUCUCUGGACUUUGUACUAGGUUGGUUUGCCAAACCCGUAUUUAUUGAUGGUGACUAUCCCGAGAGCAUGAAGAAUAACCUUUCAUCUAUUCUGCCUGAUUUUACUGAAUCUGAGAAAAAGUUCAUCAAAGGAACUGCUGACUUUUUUGCUCUUUCCUUUGGACCCACCUUGAGUUUUCAACUUUUGGACCCUCACAUGAAAUUCCGCCAAUUGGAAUCUCCCAACCUGAGGCAACUGCUUUCCUGGAUUGACCUUGAAUUUAACCAUCCUCAAAUAUUUAUUGUGGAAAAUGGCUGGUUUGUCUCAGGGACCACCAAGAGAGAUGAUGCCAAAUAUAUGUAUUACCUCAAAAAGUUCAUCAUGGAAACCUUAAAAGCCAUCAAGCUGGAUGGGGUGGAUGUCAUCGGGUAUACCGCAUGGUCCCUCAUGGAUGGUUUCGAGUGGCACAGAGGUUACAGCAUCAGGCGUGGACUCUUCUAUGUUGACUUUCUAAGCCAGGACAAGAUGUUGUUGCCAAAGUCUUCAGCCUUGUUCUACCAAAAGCUGAUAGAGAAAAAUGGCUUCCCUCCUUUACCUGAAAAUCAGCCCCUAGAAGGGACAUUUCCCUGUGACUUUGCUUGGGGAGUUGUUGACAACUACAUUCAAGUAAGUCAGCUGACAAAACCAAUCAGCAGUCUCACCAAGCCCUAUCACUAGUAGAUACCACUCUGUCUCAGUUUACCGACCUGAAUGUUUACCUCUGGGAUGUCCACCACAGUAAAAGGCUUAUUAAAGUGGAUGGGGUUGUGACCAAGAAGAGGAAAUCCUACUGUGUUGACUUUGCUGCCAUCCAGCCCCAGAUCGCUUUACUCCAGGAAAUGCACAUUACACAUUUUCGCUUCUCCCUGGACUGGGCCCUGAUUCUCCCUCUGGGUAACCAGUCCCAGGUAAACCACACCAUCCUGCAGUACUAUCGCUGCAUGGCCAGCGAGCUUGUCCGUGUCAACAUCACCCCGGUGGUGGCCCUGUGGCAGCCUAUGGCCCCGAACCAAGGACUGCCGCGCCUCCUGGCCAGGCAGGGCGCCUGGGAGAACCCCUACACUGCCCUGGCCUUUGCAGAGUAUGCCCGACUGUGCUUUCAAGCGCUCGGCCAUCACGUCAAGCUUUGGAUAACGAUGAAUGAGCCGUAUACAAGGAAUAUGACAUACAGUGCCGGCCACAACCUUCUGAAGGCCCAUGCCCUGGCUUGGCAUGUGUACAAUGAAAAGUUUAGGCAUGCUCAGAAUGGGAAAAUAUCCAUAGCCUUGCAGGCUGAUUGGAUAGAACCUGCCUGCCCUUUCUCCCAAAAGGACAAAGAGGUGGCCGAGAGAGUUUUGGAAUUUGACAUUGGCUGGCUGGCUGAGCCCAUUUUCGGCUCUGGAGAUUAUCCAUGGGUGAUGAGGGACUGGCUGAACCAAAGAAACAAUUUUCUUCUUCCUUAUUUCACUGAAGAUGAAAAAAAGCUAAUCCAGGGUACCUUUGACUUUUUGGCUUUAAGCCAUUAUACCACCAUCCUUGUAGACUCAGAAAAAGAAGAUCCAAUAAAAUACAAUGAUUACCUAGAAGUGCAAGAAAUGACCGACAUCACGUGGCUCAACUCCCCCAGUCAGGUGGCGGUAGUGCCCUGGGGGUUGCGCAAAGUGCUGAACUGGCUGAAGUUCAAGUACGGAGACCUCCCCAUGUACAUAAUAUCCAACGGAAUCGAUGACGGGCUGCAUGCUGAGGACGACCAGCUGAGGGUGUAUUAUAUGCAGAAUUACAUAAACGAAGCUCUCAAAGCCCAAAUACUGGAUGGUAUCAAUCUUUGCGGAUACUUUGCUUAUUCGUUUAACGACCGCACAGCUCCGAGGUUUGGCCUCUAUCGUUAUGCUGCAGAUCAGUUUGAGCCCAAGGCAUCCAUGAAACAUUACAGGAAAAUUAUUGACAGCAAUGGUUUCCCGGGCCCAGAAACUCUGGAAAGAUUUUGUCCAGAAGAAUUCACCGUGUGUACUGAGUGCAGUUUUUUUCACACCCGAAAGUCUUUACUGGCUUUCAUAGCUUUUCUAUUUUUUGCUUUUAUUAUUUCUCUCUCCCUUAUAUUUUACUACUCGAAGAAAGGCAGAAGAAGUUACAAAUAGUCCUGAACAUUUUCCUAUUCAUUCAUUUUGAAAUACGUAUGCAGACACAUCAGCUGUUAACCAUUUGCACCUCUAAGUGUUGUGAAACUGUAAAUUUCAUACAUUUGACUUCUAGAA
rnacentral:sRNA from 1 species